AGAGAGUUAAAAAGUACGUGAAACCGUUGGAAGGGAAGCGAAUAGAGAUAGAAAUUCCCCUGGCCGGAUUCAGCCGCUCCAGCAUCGCGGCGUGCUUGGUUUCGAUCUUUAUAGACGAGCCUUGUACGCUUGCGUUGCGUGACCGGUGCACUUCUGCUUGGGCGAAUGUCAACGUCGGUUUGCGUGGUGUCAAAAAGCCGCAUGCACGGUAGGUCUCGCGGGAGAUCGGUAAGGCAUGCGUGCAAACGACUCCAUGUAGACCGAGUUCGGUCGCAGCACGUACCUCUCCUCGCGGAGAAGGUUGAUGUCCUCAUCGUUAUGUCGGUUUACCGUCUCUUGGCGGACGGCUUUGCCUGUGCGUUGAAGUGCGGCCGUCUAGACGAUGGGCAUAAUACAUACACGACGUGCUGAGGACGUUGACGAUUCUGCGUCUCUAUCCGACCCGUCUUGAAACACGGACCAAGGAGUCUAACAUGUGCGCAAGUCCCAGAGUGAUCGAAACUCGUUGGGCAUAAUGAAAGUGAAUGCAGUCUCGGCUGCAGAGAUGAGAGGCUGCGUCGUAGUUGUCGUGGCGGCAUCAUCGACCGACCUGUUCUACUCUUAGAAAGGUUUGAGUUAGAGCGCAACUGUUGGGACCCGAAAGAUGGUGAACUAUGCCUGAAUAGGGCGAAGCCAGCGGAAACACUGGUGGAAGCCCGUAGCGAUUCUGACGUGCAAAUCGAUCGUCGAAUUUGGGUAUAGCGGCGAAAGACUAAUCGAACCAUCUAGUAGCUGGUUCCCUCCGAAGUUUCUCACAGGAUAGCUGGAACUCGGUGGCAGUUU
rnacentral:rRNA from 1 species